AGAAUUGUUAACUAGGUAUAACAAUAUAAAGAAGAGGAUUAAGGCAAGAAGAGAAUACUAAGGUAUCAAGGAGGUAGGAAUUACAAAAAAAGCCGCCCUCUCCGGGGCUGGGGGAACAAGUGAAGAGGUUGAAAUUAUUAAAAUUUAGAAGAAACUUAGAGGAGGGAACUUACAGCAUUGAAACUCAGACCCCUGAGGAGCGGAAUUUUGUUCAGCUGGUGCUGUAAGCUUGGAGGAGCAUCCCCAUGUGGCUGGGACCAGACCUCCGAGGAGGGAGCACUGAUUGGUUAGUGGUGGUUCUCUGAAUGUGGAACACUCAGGCUGACUCUUUAAAUGUUGGAAAAACUGCACACUGGAUUUAGCUACUGCAAAGUUUAAGCAAGGAUGCUGUAGGUGUAAAAAGUUGUCAGGGGUAAUUUUGACCGGAAGGGGAGGCAGAGAGGGAGGAGCAAGUCCCUUUUUCCUCUUUCAGCCUUUCUCUCCCCUUCAAGUACCCCUUAUUGCCAGAGGCUAACCAGGUGCCAGAUGGUGAAUUGGAAAUACUGUGUGCAAUUUCAGCACCAGAAUCGCAGAGUUUACAAGGAUGGGAUUGGAGUGGAAAGACGACCCAAAGUGGCAGGGCAACUGUGAUGAAAUGCGAAGUCUGAACAUCUUUUCUAGCCAUCUUCCUAGUCUCCUCUUUUGCUAACACUUCCUGAGGACUUAUCCUGUGCCAGAACGUGUACUGAGUAGGUGCUUUGUAUUUGUCAUCACAUCUAAUCCUCACAAGAACCCCAUGAGGCUACAAUGAGGAGUUGCUCCAGCAGCUACAGCUGUAGGAAGAUUAGCCCUGAACUAACAUCUGCCACCAAUCCUCCUCUUCAUUGCCAAGGAAGACUGGCGCUAUCUUGACCGAACCCCAGGCUGCUGAAGUGGAAUAUGCUAACUGAACUGCUGUGCCACCGGGCCAGCCCCUUCCUUCUGUUUUUUGAAUGUUCUUGGACACCUAUUCUUUCUAAGCAAUAGAAAUUGCCAUGAAUACCUAAAAUCUCUCCACAUUGCUCUUCAAAUAUGACUACUCAUUGGUGCUCUCUAGAGAAGAUAAGAGAAACAUCUCUUUUUCAUCCUCAUCCCAACUCAAGUCUGAGCUAAGUCAUAUCCUGAACUCAAGGAGACCUCAUUGCUUUAACCUCAGGCCUCUCCACAGAGUUUCUCCUCUAAAACACAGAGAAAACUGCAAGCCCCUUCAUCAAGGAAAAGUCUUUUAUAGACUUCUCUGGUAAAGUCAGUCCUGGAGCCAUGUGACUAGAUGCUCUGACCUGUUUUUCUGCAACCACACAAACAACCACAUCCUAACUUGCAUGAGAUAGAGGCUCAAAAAUUGCUUUUCUUAUUAGAGAUGACUCCAGGUUUUAGCUACUCUUUGCACAUCUUGUGUACUACUUGUUCCCUAGGUUCCACUAGCCUUAGUGACGAGUGUGGGGAAAGUGGCAAUUAUCAAGUUUCUUGACACUGAAUCACCCUCCAAUCAUGUUCCUGGGUCAUUAUACCUUCCAGGUCCUUCUAUUUUCCUUAUGAAUUCUGAAUGACUCAAGUAGUUUCCUCUGUGACUUUUGCUGCCUUCUUUGUUGUGACAACCACUGUAUCUGAGAAAAAUGCUCAAAGCAAGUUGUCAGAAAUCCCAUCUCUAUUUUAAAUGAUGUUAAAAUGAAACUCUUCUUUCUUCCAUUUUGAAUGAGCCAUCAAUAUGAGAAAUAUUAGAUAAUAAAAAGGGCAUGACACAGAUCCUCUCAUAAGAAGAAUUUACAAAGGAAAUGGUUAAGAACCGUUUUUCCCAGCUCAAUGACUCUUGUGUCCCUUGGCCAGAACAAGGUGUGCAGAGUAGACAGAAUGUGGAAUAGGGAAGAACUUCUCCGAAGAAGAGCCGUGGCUUUGCUGUUGUUGCUUUGAGAGAGUAGUGGGUCAUGUUCCUGGUACCUUGAGAGGAUUGUUUUGGUCUUUCUGUUUCCUUUACCUCAAGCCUAGUGAGGGGGCUUCCAUGGAAUCGCUCAGAAAGCUUCAAAUAUGCUCCUUGCUAUUGGGAGACUUGAGAAAGACUGAUGUCACUGUAGAAACAGCAAAGUAUUGGUGCAUUAAGUUCAUCCUGGACUCCUAGAAUUUAUGGGGACAAGGGAUGCAUGAGUGUUUAUUUUGGAUGAGGUAUAGGCCGUGUAGAAGACAGAGCUGAUGUGGUCAUCUUGGGUUUUAUCCAAAAGAGCCAUCUCAGGGCGAAGAGGCUCCCUAAAGUAAGAAACUAGAAUGAAACACUAGACUUAGGAGCCAUGGAAGAAUUUGCAAAUGAUCACCAAAAAUAAAUGAUACCUCUAACUCAGUGAGAGUUGGAGGGGAAGUAGGAUAUCAACCUAAGAUAGAAGAAAGCUGAAGGAUGUGAGCUAUGGUUUACAACCCAGGCUGAUUAUUGUUAGAAAGAAUCUAUAAUAAGAUGAAACAGACCUAUUAGAAUAUCAACACCAAAAAAGCAAGCACCAUGACUGUUUCACUCAAUAUUGUAUUUUCAGCUUGCGUAGUGCCUAGCAUC
rnacentral:lncRNA from 1 species